rnacentral:rRNA from 1 species
GGGCCCGCACAAGCAGUGGAGUAUGUGGUUUAAUUCGAAGCAACGCGAAGAACCUUACCAGGUCUUGACAUCGGAUGCAUACCUAAGAGAUUAGGGAAGCCCUUCGGGGCAUCCAGACAGGUGGUGCAUGGUUGUCGUCAGCUCGUGUCGUGAGAUGUUGGGUUAAGUCCCGCAACGAGCGCAACCCUUAUUAUUAGUUACUACGCAAGAGGACUCUAAUGAGACUGCCGUUGACAAAACGGAGGAAGGUGGGGAUGACGUCAAAUCAUCAUGCCCUUUAUGACCUGGGCCACACACGUACUACAAUGGCUAUUAACAAAGAGACGCGAGACCGCGAGGUGGAGCAAAUCUCACAAAAAUAGUCUCAGUUCGGAUCGCAGGCUGCAACUCGCCUGCGUGAAGCCGGAAUUGCUAGUAAUCGCGGAUCAGCAUGCCGCGGUGAAUACGUUCCCGGGCCUU